GAAGAACGCUGGCGGCGUGCUUAACACAUGCAAGUCGAACGAUGAACCCGGAGCUUGCUCCGGUGGAUUAGUGGCGAACGGGUGAGUAACACGUGAGUAACCUGCCCUUGACUCUGGGAUAACUGCGGGAAACUGUAGCUAAUACCGGAUACGACCCUCGGCGGCAUCGCCAGGGGGUGGAAAGAAUUUCGGUCAAGGAUGGACUCGCGGCCUAUCAGCUAGUUGGCGAGGUAACGGCUCACCAAGGCGACGACGGGUAGCCGGCCUGAGAGGGGGACCGGCCACAGUGGGACUGAGACACGGCCCAGACUCCUGCGGGAGGCAGCAGUGGGGAAUAUUGCACAAUGGGCGAAAGCCUGAUGCAGCAACGCCGCGUGAGGGAUGACGGCCUUCGGGUUGUAAACCUCUUUCAGCAUCGACGAAGCGAAAGUGACGGUAGGUGCAGAAGAAGGACCGGCCAACUACGUGCCAGCCGCCGCGGUAA
rnacentral:rRNA from 1 species